GACGAACGCUGGCGGCGUGCUUAACACAUGCAAGUCGAACGGAAAGGCCCUGCUUUUGUGGGGUGCUCGAGUGGCGAACGGGUGAGUAACACGUGAGUAACUUGCCCUUGACUUUGGGAUAACUUCAGGAAACUGGGGCUAAUACCGGAUAGGAGCUCCUGCUGCAUGGUGGGGGUUGGUAAGUUUCGGCGGUUGGGGAGGGACUCGCGGCUUAUCAGCUGUCUGGUGGGGUAGUGGCUUACCAAGGCUUUGUCGGGUUGUCGGCCUGAGAGGGUGAACGGCCAUAUUGGGAAUGAGAUAGGGCCAAGACUCCUACCGGAGGCAGCAGUCGAGAAUAUGGCACAAUGGGCGGAAGCAUGAUGCAGCAACGCCGCGUGCGGAAUAACGGCCUUCGGGUUGUAAACCGCUUUCGCAUGUGACGAAGCGUGAGUGACGGUAAUGGGUAAAGAAGCACCGGCUAACUACGUG
rnacentral:rRNA from 1 species